GUCGAAAAUCUUAAGACCGGUGAGUUAGUGGGAUGUCUUUGUUGUUUUGUGAUUAAUAGAGUUACAUAUGUAUCUUUAGUGGACUUUUGUUCUGUUUGCUUACUUUACGUUUGUGGAGUCUGCAUUGAUCGUUCCAAAAAUCAAUAAUGAAAAUGGUUUCCUGCUGGAACCGUCUAAUGAUCGAUAUGUGUUGAGUAUUCUACAUCCGGAUGGCACAAGUUGGCAAAAGGAGACAGUGCAAGAGAUUUCCCCCGGAGAAUUGGAGGUAAAGGGAACGAUCAAUCAGGCUUUUGAAGAACAAGGUGGCACUCUUGUGGUAAUAUACGAGGCUGGACGCAAUGGAUAUGUGGCAAAGUAUACAUACGAUGGCAAAGGCAAACCACCACCGCCUCUAGCCGUACCAGUAAGUGCCAGAGCUCUAAUGUCGGCAGCUGGUUAGAAUUGAAUUUAAUCGUUUGAAAUUAUACUUAAAUUAAUGAAAAAACUAUAUUUGAAUUCACUUUUCA